CAUGGGGGAAACCCUGAUGCAGCGACGCCGCGUGGAGGAAGAAGGUCUUCCCNAUUGUAAACUCCUGUUGUUGGGGAAGAUAAUGACGGUACCCNACAAGGAAGUGACGGCUAACUACGUGCCAGCAGCCGCGGUAAAACGUAGGUCACAAGCGUUGUCCGGAAUUACUGGGUGUAAAGGGAGCGCAGGCGGGAGAACAAGUUGGAAGUGAAAUCCAUGGGCUCAACCCAUGAACUGCUUUCAAAACUGUUUUUCUUGAGUAGUGCAGAGGUAGGCGGAAUUCCCGGUGUAGCGGUGGAAUGCGUAGAUAUCGGGAGGAACACCAGUGGCGAAGGCGGCCUACUGGGCACCAACUGACGCUGAGGCUCGAAAGCGUGGGGAGCAAACAGGAUUAGAUACCCUGGUAGUCCAAGGGCGAAUUC
rnacentral:rRNA from 1 species